rnacentral:rRNA from 1 species
CAUAGGUUAAUGAGGCGAACCGGGGGAACUGAAACAUCUAAGUACCCCGAGGAAAAGAAAUCAACCGAGAUUCCCCCAGUAGCGGCGAGCGAACGGGGAGCAGCCCAGAGCCUGAAUCAGUAUGUGUGUUAGUGGAAGCGUCUGGAAAGGCGCGCGAUACAGGGUGACAGCCCCGUACACAAAAAUGCACAUGCUGUGAGCUCGAUGAGUAGGGCGGGACACGUGGUAUCCUGUCUGAAUAUGGGGGGACCAUCCUCCAAGGCUAAAUACUCCUGACUGACCGAUAGUGAACCAGUACCGUGAGGGAAAGGCGAAAAGAACCCCGGCGAGGGGAGUGAAAAAGAACCUGAAACCGUGUACGUACAAGCAGUGGGAGCACGCUUAGGCGUGUGACUGCGUACCUUUUGUAUAAUGGGUCAGCGACUUAUAUUCUGUAGCAAGGUUAACCGAAUAGGGGAGCCGAAGGGAAACCGAGUCUUAACUGGGCGUUAAGUUGCAGGGUAUAGACCCGAAACCCGGUGAUCUAGCCAUGGGCAGGUUGAAGGUUGGGUAACACUAACUGGAGGACCGAACCGACUAAUGUUGAAAAAUUAGCGGAUGACUUGUGGCUGGGGGUGAAAGGCCAAUCAAACCGGGAGAUAGCUGGUUCUCCCCGAAAGCUAUUUAGGUAGCGCCUCGUGAAUUCAUCUCCGGGGGUAGAGCACUGUUUCGGCAAGGGGGUCAUCCCGACUUACCAACCCGAUGCAAACUGCGAAUACCGGAGAAUGUUAUCACGGGAGACACACGGCGGGUGCUAACGUCCGUCGUGAAGAGGGAAACAACCCAGACCGCCAGCUAAGGUCCCAAAGUCAUGGUUAAGUGGGAAACGAUGUGGGAAGGCCCAGACAGCCAGGAUGUUGGCUUAGAAGCAGCCAUCAUUUAAAGAAAGCGUAAUAGCUCACUGGUCGAGUCGGCCUGCGCGGAAGAUGUAACGGGGCUAAACCAUGCACCGAAGCUGCGGCAGCGACGCUGAUGCGUUGUUGGGUAGGGGAGCGUUCUGUAAGCCUGCGAAGGUGUGCUGUGAGGCAUGCUGGAGGUAUCAGAAGUGCGAAUGCUGACAUAAGUAACGAUAAAGCGGGUGAAAAGCCCGCUCGCCGGAAGACCAAGGGUUCCUGUCCAACGUUAAUCGGGGCAGGGUGAGUCGACCCCUAAGGCGAGGCCGAAAGGCGU